UUUCGCAAUGCCCGAAAGGGUGACGAAGCGACGCCGCGUGUGGGAAGAAGGCCUUCGGGUUGUAAACCACUGUCGGGAGUUAUGAAAUGUAAGGGUGUUAAUAGCGCCUUUACUUGACAAAGGCUCCGGAGGAAGCCACGGCUAACUCUGUGCCAGCAGCCGCGGUAAUACAGAGGUGGCAAGCGUUGUUCGGAAUUAUUGGGCGUAAAGAGCACGUAGGCGGCUCUGCAAGUCAGCUGUGAAAGCCUUCCGCUCAACGGAAGAACGGCAGUUGAUACUACAGGGCUAGAGUGCGGGAGGGGAGAGUGGAACUUCUGGUGGAGCGGUGAAAUGCGUAGAUAUCAGAAGGAACGCCGGCGGCGAAAGCGACUCUCUGGCCCGUAACUGACGCUGAGUGUGCGAAAGCUAGGGGAGCAAACGGGAUUAGAUACCCCGGUAGUCCUAGCCGUAAACGAUGGGCACUAAGUAGAGGGGUUUUA
rnacentral:rRNA from 1 species